rnacentral:rRNA from 1 species
UGCUACGGCCAUGCCACCCUGAAAAAGCCCAAUCCCAUAUUAUCUCCGAAGCUAAGGAGGAUCAGGCCUGAUUAGUACUUGGAUGGGAGACCACCUAGGAAGACCAGGCUCUGUAGACG